AAGUCUGGCCUGCCCAAUGAAUUUUUUUUUAAUGGCCGCAGUAUUUUGACUGUGCAAAGGUAGCAUAAUCAUUAGUUUCUUAAUUAGGAACUGGAAUGAAGGGUUGGACGAGAAAAUAACUGUCUCUUUAUAAUUUAUUUAGAAUUUUAUUUUUAAGUUAGAAAGCUUAAAUAAUUUUAAAAGACGAGAAGACCCUAUAGAGUUUUAUAAAAUAUAUUUUAAUAUUAAAAGUUGAUUUUUUAUUUAUUUAAAGUAUAUUUUAUUUUGUUGGGGUGAUAAAAAAAUUUAGUUAACUUUAAUUUUAUACAAACAUUAAUUUAUGAAUUAUUGAUCCAUUAAUUAUGAUUAAAAGAUUAAAUUACCUUAGGGAUAACAGCGUAAUUUCUUUAUAGAGUUCUAAUCGAUAAAGAAGUUUGCGACCUCGAUGUUGGAUUAAAAUAUAGUUUUGGUGUAGAAGCUAAAAUAUUAGGUCUGUUCGACCUUUAAAAUUUUACAUGAUCUGAGUUUAAACCGGUGUAAGCCAGGUUGGUUUCUAUCUUUAAAAUAAAAUAGUAUUUUAGUACGAAAGGACCAAAUACUUAUAAAAUUUAU
rnacentral:rRNA from 1 species